AAAGCCAAAAUUUUAGAGGAAUCUCUUCGACUACUUUUUUUUUUUUUUUUUUUUUUUUUUUUUUUUUU
rnacentral:ribozyme from 1 species